UGUUGGUUGAGGAACAACUUCAAGCUGGUCAUAUAGAAUCAACGCUUAGUCCUUGGAACACCCCCACUUUUGUUAUUAAGAAAAAAAUCAGGUAGUUGGAGGUUAUUACAGGAUUUAAGGUCAAUAAAUCAUGCAAUUCAGCCUAUGGGAUCAUUACAGUCUGGAUUUCCUUCCCCCACAGCAAUUUCUUUGGAUUAUAGCUUAAUUUUAAUAGGCCUGAAAGAUUGUUUCUUUUCAAUAAAAUUACAUCCUGAGGAUUGUGAAAAAAC
rnacentral:sRNA from 1 species